rnacentral:rRNA from 1 species
CACCACAACAGGUGGAGCCUGCGGUUUAAUCGGACUCAACGCCGGGAAACUCACCAGAUAAGACAGCUGAAUGAUAGUCGGGCUGAAGACUCUACUUGACUAGCUGAGAGGAGGUGCAUGGCCGUCGUCAGUUCGUACUGUGAAGCAUCCUGUUAAGUCAGGCAACGAGCGAGAUCCACGCCAACAGUUGCCAGCUCGUCCUCCGGGAUGGUGGGGACACUGUUGGGACCGCCUCUGCUAAAGAGGAGGAAGGAAUGGGCAACGGUAGGUCAGCAUGCCCCGAAUUAUCUGGGCUACACGCGGGCUACAAUGGGUGGGACAAUGGGUAUCGACACCGAAAGGUGAAGGCAAUCUCCUAAACCCAUCCGUAGUUCGGAUUGUGGGCUGCAACUCGCCCACAUGAAGCUGGAAUCUGUAGUAAUCGUGUCUCAAAAUGGCACGGUGAAUAUGUCCCUGCUCCUU